rnacentral:rRNA from 1 species
UACGUAGGGGGCAAGCGUUGUCCGGAUUUACUGGGCGUAAAGAGCGUGUAGGCGGCCAGACAGGUCCGUUGUGAAAGUCAAAGGCUCAACCUUUGAACGCCGAUGGAUACUGCCGGGCUAGAGUCCGGAAGAGGUGAGUGGAAUUCCUGGUGUAGCGGUGAAAUGCGUAGAUAUCAGGAGGAACACCGGUGGUGUAGACGGCUCACUGGACCGUAACUGACGCUGAGACACGAAAGCGUGGGUAGCAAACAGG